rnacentral:rRNA from 1 species
AGAGUUUGAUCAUGGCUCAGGAUGAACGCUGGCGGCGUGCUUAAUACAUGCAAGUCGAACGAAGCUCUUUUUCUUCGGAUGAAGAGUCUUAGUGGCGAACGGGUGCGUAACGCGUUGGUAACCUGCCCCAAAGAGGGGGAUAACAGUUCGAAAGGACUGCUAAUACCCCAUGUGAUCAUCAGGAUUAGAUGCUUGAUGAUGAAAGGAGUAAUCCGCUUUGGGAGGGGCCUGCGUCCCAUCAGCUUGUUGGUAGGGUAAUGGCCUACCAAGGCUCUGACGGGUAGGGGACCUGAGAGGGUGGCCCCCCACACUGGCACUGAAAUACGGGCCAGACACCUACGGGUGGCAGCAGUAGGGAAUAUUGGACAAUGGGCGAAAGCCUGAUCCAGCAACGCCGCGUGCACGAUGACGGCCUUCGGGUUGUAAAGUGCUUUUAGGAGAGAUGAGAAAGGACAGUAUCUCCUGAAUAAGCCUCGGCGAACUACGUGCCAGCAGCCGCGGUAAAACGUAGGAGGCGAGCGUUAUCCGGAUUUAUUGGGCGUAAAGCGCGUGCAGGCGGUUUGGAAAGUUGGAUGUGAAAGCUCCUGGCUUAACUGGGAGAGGUCGUUCAAAACUACCAGACUAGAGAAUGGGAGAGGGAAGUGGAAUUCCGGGUGUAGUGGUGAAAUGCGUAGAUAUCCGGAGGAACACCAGUGGCGAAAGCGGCUUCCUGGACCAUUUCUGACGCUAAGACGCGAAAGCUAGGGGAGCGAACGGGAUUAGAGACCCCGGUAGUCCUAGCUGUAAACGAUGUAGACUUGGCGUUGGCGGAGUUAAAUCUGCCAGUGCCGGAGCUAACGCGUUAAGUCUACCGCCUGGGGACUACGACCGCAAGGGUUAAAACUCAAAUGAAUUGACGG